rnacentral:snoRNA from 1 species
AGUCAAUGAUGAUUAUUAAGAGUAGUGGACAGAAGAGAUUUCUGACAGCUAAAUCCACUGAGACG